rnacentral:rRNA from 1 species
UACGAAGGGGGCUAGCGUUGUUCGGAUUUACUGGGCGUAAAGCGCACGUAGGCGGAUUGUUAAGUCGGGGGUGAAAUCCUGGAGCUCAACUCCAGAAUUGCCUUUCGAUACUGGCUUUCUAGAGGCUGGAAGAGGUUAGUGGAAUUCCCAGUGUAGAGGUGAAAUUCGUAGAUAUCGGGGAGGAACACCAGUGGCGAAGGCGGCUCACUGGCCCGGUACUGACGCGUGAGGUGCGAAAGCGUGGGGAGCAAAC